UACGUAGGGUGCAAGCGUUAAUCGGAAUUACUGGGCGUAAAGCGUGCGCAGGCGGUUUUGUAAGACAGGCGUGAAAUCCCCGGGCUCAACCUGGGAAUUGCGCUUGUGACUGCAAAGCUGGAGUGCGGCAGAGGGGGAUGGAAGUCCGCGUGUAGCAGUGAAAUGCGUAGAUAUGCGGAGGAACACCGAUGGCGAAGGCAAUCCCCUGGGCCUGCACUGACGCUCAUGCACGAAAGCGUGGGGAGCAAACAGG
rnacentral:rRNA from 1 species